UACAGAGGUCUCAAGCGUUGUUCGGAUUCAUUGGGCGUAAAGGGUGCGUAGGUGGCGCGGAAAGUCGGGUGUGAAAUCUCAGAGCUCAACUCUGAAACUGCACUCGAUACUGCUUUGCUCGAGGACUGGAGAGGAGAUUGGAAUUCACGGUGUAGCAGUGAAAUGCGUAGAUAUCGUGAGGAAGACCAGUGGCGAAGGCGGAUCUCUGGACAGUUCCUGACGCUGAGGCGCGAAGGCCAGGGGAGCAAACGGG
rnacentral:rRNA from 1 species